GGAGAAGUGUCAGAGCGGUCUAAUGUGCACGAUUGGAAGUCGUGUGUGCGAUGAGCACCCCGGGUUCGAAUCCCGGCUUCUCCG
rnacentral:tRNA from 1 species